rnacentral:lncRNA from 1 species
UUGUUCACACGCGGAUCACAUGUACACGUUGGGGUAAAUGUUCAUUUUCAGUUCAAACUAAUAUAUCAUCACAUUUUCACCGGGAAGCAAAGUUGUUUACCAUUUUCUCCAUACUGAUGAUUGAGCGGAUGAAAUUAUCUAUCCACGACUUUGUUGGUCUUGCCGUAUAUCAGCCCAUUUUCACUAGGAAGCAAAGUUCUAUAUAAUUUUCUUUUCUGAUGAACGACCCCAAUAACUCAGGAAUGGUCACCAUGGGUGUGGGUCGAUUGGAUUAUUUUGCCGAUUUGGUAAGCUGCUCCUAGCAUACGAAUCAACCCUCCUUGAUCGUCCGCCAGGGGAAGGGCCAUGGCGAACCCCCAAUGGCCGAGAUGCCCAAUUUACUUUUUAUUUUUUGAAGUACCAUGAACAAAAAAACAUAUUUUUCUUGUAAACAUUGAGAAAAAAACAUUGUAUAAUUGCUAUGAAUAUAAAAAAUGAAAAAUACCAUGCUACUUUAUGAAAAAUGCCAAGUUAAUUAUAAAAAGGACACACUACUUUACAAAAAAUGCUAGUCCAUCCAUUCUUAAAUAUAAGUCUUUUUAGAGAUUUCAUUAGAGACUACACACGGAGCAAAAUAAAUGAGUUUACACUCUAAAAUAUGUCUAUAUACAUCCGUAUGUAGUUCACAGUAGAAUCUCUAAAAAUACUUACAAUUAGGAAUGGAUAGAGUAUGAUAUAAUAUUUUGUCUUUAUUUUGUCCACUCUUCACAAAUUCAUAAAAAAUGUAAUGCCGGUGAAUUCUUUUUUGCCAUGGCAAAAAAUUGCUAUCCUCCUACUAAUAGAAUUUCCAUCCUCUAGAUAUUAAAAAAUGCCAUGAAAACAAUAACAAAAAUGCCAUGUGCUUUUAUCAUAAGCUGCCACCCCUCUUGAUAAAUAAAAAUGUCAUGUAACUAAAAAAAGUUCCAUGUUACUAAUAAUAAAACUGACAUCCUCUUAAUAAUAGAAAUUGACAUGUUAUUAAUUAUUAAAAUGCCAUGCUCUUUACUAAAAAAAGCCAUGUGGGGCGUUAAAAAGGACCUAGAAAAAUUUCGUGCUACAUAUAUAAUAAAAAUGCACAUCACAAGUUUAGAAAAACAGUCUCUAAAAAUGUUUUUUUGUUCUACCAAAAAUGUUAAACAAAUCUGGAUUUUCUUCAAAUGGAACAUUUAUUAAGAAAAAAACAGAAAAGAAAAUUAGCUACCUGACAUCGGACGCGCAUCAAUAUACUUACAAGUGUUAGAAUCGUACUCCUAUGUUCCAAAAUAAGUGUUUCAAGCUUAGUAUAAUUUUGUAUUAGUGCUAAUACGAAGUUGAAACACUUAAUUUAAGACGGAGGGAGUAUUAGCCAGACAGCGUUAGAGACUCGUGCCAUUGCAGAAACCUUGCAAGUCUGGCACUGUUUACCUUGGUAGGCACAUUUUCCUGGUCGGUGGCUGGCAACCCAGAAUUCAGGCCUACGGCCCUAUGCCUAUCCCAGCUUAGCAGCGACCCGGACAGGCGCCGUAGGCAAGGAGCUGGAGCAUGUCAACUUCCUUCAGGAUGCCGACUCACGGAUCCACACAACUUAAGGAAAACUUGCUUUCAUGGACGGUGACAAAUUGAUAGUAUAAACAUUGUGCGGAUGGAUUUACUCUUUUUUUGUAUUUUUGAACGCAGUAUCGAGGAAGCAAAGUGAAAGAGUAUCAUAUCGUCAAACAUCUUAAAGGAACAUAGAAACAAUGAAUCACGCGGAACAUUCCCUACUUGAAAUCAAACAAACUGAACACUUCUCGAUGGGAUAAAAUCACGUCCAAUUUGUCAAGCCUGCAUUCUUUUAUGGAUGUUGGACCUCAGCAGCUCAAUUUCCUGUCAAAAUUUCAUGGUCUCUCAGUUGGCGCAGUCCAGCACAUGGACCGAUGUUUGUUCAUAUUUCCUUUCAGUUCCAUCUAAAAUCUCAACUCAUCAGGAAGAAGAAUAUAUCAAAAGUUCAGUAGUAAUGU